GAACGCUAGCGGCAGGCCUAACACAUGCAAGUCGAGGGGUAACAUAGAAGAGCUUGCUUUUCUGAUGACGACCGGCGCACGGGUGCGUAACGCGUAUGCAACCUACCUCUUACUGGAGGAUAGCCCGAAGAAAUUCGGAUUAAUACUCCAUAGUAUUUCUUUCUCACCUGAGAUUGAAAUUAAAGGUUACGGUAAGAGAUGGGCAUGCGUCCUAUUAGCUAGAUGGUAAGGUAACGGCUUACCAUGGCUACGAUAGGUAGGGGGCCUGAGAGGGUGAUCCCCCACACUGGUACUGAGACACGGACCAGACUCCUACGGGAGGCAGCAGUGAGGAAUAUUGGGCAAUGGAGGCAACUCUGACCCAGCCAUGCCGCGUGCAGGAAGACGGUCCUAUGGAUUGUAAACUGCUUUUAUUUGUGAAUAAACUCCGGUACGUGUACCGGCCUGAAUGUAGCAAAUGAAUA
rnacentral:rRNA from 1 species